rnacentral:rRNA from 1 species
AAGAGAUAGCAAUACUUAGUGGCAGACGGGUGGAGUAACAUGUAGGUAUCUACCCUUUGGCCUGGAAUAACACGAGGAAACUUGUGCUAAUACCGGGAUAAGUCUUUACGGGAGAAGCUUUAUGCACCAUUGGAUGAGCCUGCACUUGAUUAGUUUGUUGGUGGGGUAAUGGCCUACCAAGACUGUGAUCAAUAGCUGAUUUGAGGGGAUGAUCAGCCACAUUGGGACUGAGACACGGCCCAAACUCCUACGGNAGGCAGCAGUGGGGAAUCUUGCACAAUGGAGGAAACUCUGAUGCAGCGAUGCCGCGUGAGUGAAGAAGGCCUUUGGGUUGUAAAGCUCUUUCGUCGGGGAAGNACAUGACUGUACCCGAAAUAAGAGGUCCGGCUAACUUCGUGCCACCCGCCGCGGUAAUACGAAGGGACCUAGCGUAGUUCGGAAUUACUGGGCUUAAAGAGUUCGUAGGUGGUUGAAAAAUUGGUGGUGAAAAUCCCAGAGCUUAACUCUGGAACUGCCAUCAAACUUUUCAGCUAGAGUAUGAUAGAGC